UACGAAGGGGGCUAGCGUUGCUCGGAAUCACUGGGCGUAAAGGGUGCGUAGGCGGGUCUUUAAGUCAGGGGUGAAAUCCUGGAGCUCAACUCCAGAACUGCCCUUGAUACUGAGGAUCUUGAGUUCGGGAGAGGUGAGUGGAACUGCGAGUGUAGAGGUGAAAAUUCGUAGAUAUUCGCAAGAACACCAGUGGCGAAGGCGGCUCACUG
rnacentral:rRNA from 1 species